UAGACCUCCUCCAGUGUUAAAACAUAGUUGAGGUUGGAAGACAAAACUUCUGUAGAGAUAAGUUAGGGGGGCAAGUUAUGGUUCUCCAUUGUUGGUAGAAACUUCUUGGAGACAAGUAAGUAUUCAGUCAUUAGUUGCCUGUAUCAUUCUUCUGGGGUACUUCUAAGUGACUGUCCACAUAUCAAUACGAUUUAGCUGUUCUCAGGUACAAAACAACCAAUUCUGUGUUAUUUUUUUUUCUCUGAAGUGGAAAGCUUAGUGCUGUCAUUAUCACCACAAGGGAUGGGAGUCAUGAGCUGAAAUGCAUGUGGCUGCAGUCAUCUCAGAUAUUCACCAGUAUCCUGCCCAAGUCUGGAAGGCCAUUUGUGCUACCUGGCAGAAUUGAAGAUGAUGGAAAAUGAGCAGUCCUUUUAGAUCUUACUCUCUGCUGUCAUCUUUGUUUCUUGCACUCUUUUCUUCAUUCUGUGCUGUAGUUGAAUGCAUCUUCAGACUUACUGUGUCAACAGUCAGAUUUGGA
rnacentral:lncRNA from 1 species